AAAAAAAGAAUAAAAAGAUUCUGGAGGUAUGGGGAAUUGAACCCCAGCCCUCUCCCAUGCUAAGGGAGCGCUCUACCACUGAGCUAUACCCCG
rnacentral:tRNA from 1 species